rnacentral:rRNA from 1 species
UACGGAAGGCAGCAGUGGGGAAUAUUGCACAAUGGGCGCAAGCCUGAUGCAGCCAUGCCGCGUGUAUGAAGAAGGCCUUCGGGUUGUAAAGUACUUUUCAGUCGUGAGGAAGGUGUUAAGGUUAAUAACCUUAGCAAUUGACGUUAGCGACAGAAGAAGCACCGGCUAACUCCGUGCCAGCAGCCGCGGUAAUACGGAGGGUGCGAGCGUUAAUCGGAAUUACUGGGCGUAAAGGGCACGCAGGCGGUUAAUUAAGUUGGAUGUGAAAUCCCCGGGCUUAACCUGGGAAUGGCAUUCAAGACUGGUUAGCUAGAGUCUUGUAGAGGGGGUAGAAUUCCGAUGUGUAGCGGUGAAAUGCGUAGAGAUGUGGAGGAAUACCGGUGGCGAAGGCGGCCCCUGGACAAAGGACUGGACGCUCAUGUGCGAAAGCGUGGGGAGCAAACGAGGGAUUAGAUACC